GAGACUGUGUCAAUGGCAUUUUCUGGACAAGUCAGCAGACGUGCUCAUGAUUUUGUACAUCCUGAAAACCCGAGUUUGAGGUUUAAUGUAGUUGUAAGCAUUCAGAUGAAUACUGAACACCGAAAUCGAUUCUGUUUUUGAAGCGAGCUAUCCUAACAACAACGUGGACUCCAAUGAAAUGGUUACACGGUUCGUUGUUUUUGUAGAGCGGUCUGGUCUGGCCCGUUUCGUGGGAUUGGUCCACAUGAAGGAAGUGUUUCGGUCGUCAAGUGAACGUUUCUCGGCACACCAGGCGGGACCUGUGAACCCGCCAGUCAGGAUGGCGCUCCGGGCAGCUAGUAAGCGCUUACUGCAUGUCCAGAGGACGUGUUUUAAGAUCAACGCCCUUCAAACUCACCUGGGUGUCAGAUUCAAGGCAACCUGUCCUGUUGAAGUGAGCCAUCUGGAUCAUUUGGUGUUGACGGUAAAAAGUGUGCCGGACACAAUCAACUUUUACACAAAAGUUCUUGGAAUGGAGGUUGUCACUUUUAAGGGGAACCGUAAAGCUCUGGGUUUUGGGAAACAAAAAUUUAACCUUCACCAGUUGGGCAAAGAGUUUGAACCAAAAGCUAAACAUCCAACUUCAGGCUCUGCAGACCUGUGUCUCAUCACCAAAACCCCUCUGACUGCAGUAGCUGCUCAUCUGAAGGUUUGUGGUGUUGAAAUUGAAGAGGGACCAGUGCAGAGGAGCGGAGCUGUGGGACCCAUAACCUCCCUUUACUUCAGAGAUCCAGACCACAAUCUCAUCGAAGUGUCAAACUACAGCCAGUCAGAACCAGGCAGCUCCUCUUGAACCUUCCAGUGAGCAUGUAAAAAUGCACUGUCAGCACACGACGGGGUCUAUAACCAUGAAAGGUUUAAACCAAAAUGAGACUGGUCUGCCCAUAAAAAUUCACCCAGACCGCUGCUGCUGAUCCAGAACGCUGCUGCUCGUGUUCUCACUAAAACUAGGAAGAUAGAGCACAUCACCCCAGUUCUAAAGUCCUUACACUGGUUCAGUGUAGCUCAGAGGAUAGGCUUUAAAAUACUGUUGUUAGUUUAUAAAUUGAUGAACGGCUUAGCACCAUAAUGCAUCAGAGAUCUCCUGUUGUUGUAUCAACCUUCCAGAUCACUCAGGUCUUUUGGUUCUGGUCUGCAUAGAAGCUUCUCCAGAACCAAACACGGAGAAGCUUUUACGCACCAGAAAUCUGGAACAAACCUGUAAAACAGCCAAAACACUAAGUUCCUUUAAAUCUAGACUCAAAACCCACCUGUUUUUGAAACAUUAUAAAUGAAACAAUCAACAUGUUGGUGUGUAACGAUGGCACUUGACAAAAUGUAAUGCUUCAAUUGUUGUCUGUGUGUUCUCUGACUUUGUAUUUUUGUGUUUUUAUGAUGUAAAACACUUUGAACUGCCUUGUUGCUGAAAUGUGCUAUGCAAAUAAACUUUAUUGAUUGAUUAUA